rnacentral:rRNA from 1 species
UACGAAGGGUGCGAGCGUUGUUCGGAAUUACUGGGCGUAAAGGGUUCGUAGGCGGGAAGAUAAGUUGAGUGUGAAAACCCCGGGCUUAACCUGGGACGUGCAUUCAAAACUGUUUUUCCUGAGUAUCGGAGAGGGUUGUGGAAUUGCUGGUGUAGGAGUGAAAUCCGUAGAGAUCAGCAGGAACACCUGAGGCGAAAGCGACAACCUGGUCGAAUACUGACGCUGAGGAACGAAAGCGUGGGGAGCAAACAGG